rnacentral:pre_miRNA from 1 species
AAUAAGUAACAUGGAGUUCCAUGCCAACGUUUUACCAUCCGUCUUAUAUAAAAAAAUUUUAUAUUUAGUAUUUUCAUUGUUGUUAGAUGAUAAAACAAGAUUAAUACUUUAUACGUGACUUAUCUUUUUAAUUUUUUUCAUAAUUUUUUCAAAUAAGAUUAACAGUCAAACAUUGGACACAUG